rnacentral:lncRNA from 7 species
ACAUUUAUAGCAUGGGCUACAGACACACAGUUGUGCAAACAUCAUGAGUCACAGUGUACACUCUGUGGGGAGCCUGAAGGUGAGCAUAUUUUCCUCUUCAUAUUUUUCAAAGCAACUAGUGGUGAAUGCUUGACUCAAAUGACACAAGUGCGAGAGAUUGGAAAUGGUAUCUGAAUGAUGAGAAUGAAUGAAAGACAUUCUUCUCUGUGUUAGAUGGCAAAAAUGAAUCCAAUUAAGCUGAGUAAAGCAUGGUAUGUGCUCCAGGCAGGAAAUAUCCUAAAGGACAAAUAUUCCAUUAGAGCAAAAAUGGAAAUAUUUACUUCUUAUUCUUUUGUGUGUUUGUCGAACUGAUUUGGGGUAAGAGACAGUGUGAAGAGACAUCUAAGGACAUCACUUUGCUGUUGGAAAACAAAAGUAUUGGAAAUAAAAGGGAAAUGAGGAAAUGUUUUUAUAUUUGAUAUGAUUUACGGAGAACAGAGAGGCUAACACAUUUUAGCAGGUGAAGCGAAUAAAUAUUGCUUUUGAAAUAAGGGUAAUUAAGCAAUAACUGUUAUGCAGUGCAAAUAUAUGCCCAAGCGAGGAUGUUUGGUGGUUGUUAUUUUUGCCCCAAGUGAUUAACUAAAUGCCAUGGUGAGACCCACAAUUUACGUAAAUAAACACUGCAGUAAUGAGACUGUGGUUUUUGAGGCGGGUCAUUACUUUAGAAAAUCUUUCUCUCCCUUUCUUUUUCUUCUCUCUUUUUCCUUUACACACAUAUUGGUGCUGUUUUGAGAAAAUGUCAAAAAAGUUAACCUUAGUUUCAGAUCAACCAUCUGGAGUUUUUCUAAGAAAAGCAGUCCAAAAUAGCAAAUGUAACUGCUGAAGCAAAGUAUGUUCU